UGAAGCAUAUGAAAAUGGUAAGU
rnacentral:snRNA from 1 species